CCUACGGGAGGCAGCAGUGAGGAAUAUUGGUCAAUGGACGAAAGUCUGAACCAGCCAAGUCGCGUGCAGGAUGACGGCCCUAUGGGUUGUAAACUUCUUUUAUAAGGGAAUAAAGGGAGGCACGUGUGCCUUUUUGUAUGUAUUGUAUGAAUAAGGAUCGGCUAACUUCGUGCCAGCAGCCGCGGUAAUACGGAGGAUCCGAGCGUUAUCCGGAUUUAUUGGGUUUAAAGGGAGCGUAGAGGGGUUGUUAAGUCAGUUGUGAAAGUCUGCGGCUCAACCGUGGAAUUGCAGUUGAUACUGGCAGUCUUGAGUGCAGUUGGGGUAGGCGGAAUUCAUGGUGUAGCGGUGAAAUGCUUAGAUAUCAGGAAGAACACCGAUUGCGAAGGCAGCUUACUAAGCUGCAACUGACGUUGAGGCUCGAAAGUGUGGGGAUCAAACAGGAUUAGAUACCCUAGUAGUC
rnacentral:rRNA from 1 species